rnacentral:misc_RNA from 1 species
GUGAAUCAUCGAAUCUUUGAACGCACCUUGCGCUCCUUGGUAUUCCGAGGAGCAUGCCUGUUUGAGUGUCAUUUAAUUCUCAAUCCCCACUAGUUUUUUGUGACUGGCUUGGUGGAUUGGAUGUGGGGGUAUUGUUUGCGGGCCUCUUCAGAGGUCGGCUCCCCUAAAAAGCAUUAGCGGAACCGUUUGCGGACCCGUCACUGGUGUGAUAAUUAUCUACGCCAACGACAACUGCUCUCUGGUAGUUCUGCUUCUAACCGUCCUUUUACUUGGACAAUCAUAUAUUUGAAUGCUUGACCU